ACAGCCACAUCACAUUGAAACACUGUUUCCUGUAAGAUCACUGAAGUUAAGCAACCUCGAGCCUGGUCAGUACCUAGAUGGGUGAUGACUUGAGAAUACCUGGUGCUGUU